rnacentral:lncRNA from 1 species
GGGGGGGGGUGUCUGGGAGGUGAAGACUUUGGUCUGAGAGGUAGGGCCGGAGUUCAGCAGAGGGAGGAGUACCACAGCCUGCCAGAUGUCAAGAUGAAGACUCAUUUAGAGGACCUCUCACCCCAUAGAGAGAGGUCUCACAGCAACUUGUCCCUGCUGCCAGCCCUGGGAAGCCACACGGCAAGGUUGCCAAAUGUGAUGUUUCCUGACUUCCACUUUGGGAGUCUGAGGGAGGUGAGGCUUUUUCCGAGGGGUGUGACCUCAGGUUAAAGGGUACAGUCCCAGGCCCUGCCAGCCAUCAAGGAGAGAACAGUGAGGGAGGAUUGAGAGGACCUCACACCCCAGGUAGAUGUGACCUCGUUCUGCUCUGAAAAUACCCAAAUCCUAGAGAAAGGGGACCCCGGCCCUGCCUUGCCGCACCUGCCAACCCGAGGAGACCACAAGCUAGGUUGACCAGAUGUGACAUUUUCUUACUUUUGUCUGGGGGAGGUGAGGGCCUUGGUCUGUGGAGGUGACAGUCCGAGGGGGAGCCACAUCAGUUCAGAAGAGGGAGGAGUCCCAGGCUCUGCCAGGAGUCAAGGACCCUUGGUGAGUCCUGAAGGCCCUGGGAGGGUCUGGGAAGGGGGCCGGGAGAGAGGAGCUCUCACUUCUGCCCAGAGCUCUACCAGGAGUCAAGGGGAUGGAGAGUUCAGGGCGGUGAGGUCUUGGUUGGAGGCGGAAUUUCAGGUCAGCAGGGGGCAGGAGAGGCCUUGCCAGAAGUACAGAUGAAAACCUUGAGGGAAGGUUCAUGGUAUUCCCUGGGCCAGAACAGACCCCAGGCAGAGGUGGUGGAUUUGGUGUCUUUUUACUUCUGUCUGGAGUGUCCCAGGGAGGUGAAAACCUUGGUCUGAACUGGUGACAUCAGCAGAGGGAGGAGUCCCAGGAUCUGUGAGGAGUCAAGACAAGUAUCUCAAGGAGGCAAAGGCCUUGGUCUGAGUGUGAAGACAGGUCAGCUGAGGGAACCACAUCAGGUCAGAAGAGGGAGCAGUUCCAAGCUCUACCAGGAGUCAAGGAAGCUGGCAGCUCUGCAGUAGCUGAAGUUCCUCGUGGCAAACAGAGCAAAAGGCUGGAGGAAAACUUGGGCCAGGGUACCCGGAGGGCACUAACAUCCAACUGCUGAACUCUAGGCUUCGCCUGUGCACAACUGCUAGGAGACUGUUCCUUAGACAUGGAUUUUAUCAUACUUCUGCACAGGGAUCUAUCUGUGUGGACCCCAAUAUACUCAAUACACUGAAUCCCAAUUUUGCUGCUGCCAAGAACUGGGUUAUAUUAUGUGUUCUUGUCAUUUUUGAACUUUCUGUAAGCUCCUACACGAUAUGUCUCUUUCUCUACGUACACAGUUUCCUAUACUUUUAGCUAUGUUCUAUGUCAUUGCUUCUCAACAUCAUUUUUUGUUUUAAUUUCUCAGACUGACAGCAGAUAUUUUAGCUUCUCUGAUCUUUUCAAAGAACUAGUUUUGUUUUGCCUGAUCGUCAUUGUUUUUCUAAAUUUAGUUUCAUUGAUUUCUUUUCUUAUCUAUAUUAUUCCCAUCCUUCUACAUAACUUGGGCUGAACUUAUUUUUCUUUUUAUUCUAUCUUAUGUGGAAGAUUAGAAUAUUGAUUUGUCUUUUCUUUAUGUCAGAUAAGCACGUUUAAUGACUUAAAAUUACGUCUAAGCACAACUUUAGCUGUAUCCCUAAGUUCUCCCGUAUCCUGUUUUUAUUUCAUUCGAUUGAAAAUAUUUCCUAAUUUCCAUCAAUAAUUUCUUUGAAACAGGGUUGGUAAAAAUAUGUUGCUUAAUUUCCAAAAAUUUGGUGGCUCAAUACGUAUCUCUUUAGUUCUGUUCUUUGGUUUAAGUUCAUUAUGAGUAGAAAACUAUUUUACAUAAUUUCAAUUCUUUUAAAUUUGUCCAGUGUUGUGUUAAGUCCUGUGUGAGUGUUCUGAGUGCCCUUGAAAAGAAUGUACAUUUUGCUGUUAGAGUUUUUUGUAAAUAAAAAUAAGAUCAAUUUGGUUGAUAGUCUUUUUCAAGUUUUAUUUUCUAAUUAUUUGAUUAUUUACUCAAAGAGGAAUGUUGAUGUCUCCAAAUAUAAUUAACUCUCUUCUCAUUAUGUAAUAUCCCCUAUUUAUCCUUGGUAACUUUCCUUCUUAUGAAGUCAAUUUUUUUCUGAUAUUAUUAUAAUUAUCCAGCUGUCUUCUUUUCUAUUUUCAUUUUAAUUUUUU